CUGCACGCAUCCGCUACACGCGACCUGCUCGACGCUACGAACCCCAUCGAGCUCGAACAUGUUGCGCCUCAGGUCUCAGGCCGGUAAAAAGUGAAAUUUUCUCCCCACCACAACCUGGCCUGGUGGGAGCUUCGAACAUGCCUGUUUGCCUGUUGCGCGUUGCAAGAGAUCACAUUGCCGUGUUGAGUAAUCAGCAAUCUGGAAAUCGUUCUGAGCCUGCACAUUUGAAACUAGAACGUGAUUGCCGCACAAACAGUGGCGGGGCGGGAGGGAGCUGGGCGGCCAUCGCUCUUGACUCGAGCCCCAACCAGCAUAAGCUGGUCUGGGGCCUGUGGUGACGUAAGCGUCUUACAAAAAAAAAUUUGGAGAGUAAACACAUUAUUAAUAAUCGAGAAUGGCAUUACAUACAGGGGUACCAGGUGGAGUUAUUUUACAAUGGUGAUCGACUUUGAUAAUGCAUCUGAACCCAGAAAACCCUAGGCGUUCCAAUGGAUCACGUGGCUUUGAAACUUUGGAUAUUUACAAGCGAGUCUCCCUCCGAUAAGGUAUACAGUGGCGUCGAUAUCUCUGCAGCCACCACACUGUCUGUAAAUUUUUCCAUGACGUUCGGACGCCAUGACCUCUACAAACACGUCAACGGAUUUUCUGGGCACAUGCUUCUCUUGGUUGGAGAUUCCGAUUUCUAUUCUGGCCUGGUCUGGUCUGGUCUGGCCUGGCCUGUCUGUGCAACGUGAGGAAACAUGCCAUUUGAUUACCACAGCAACGCUGGACGCACGUCAUCUUGCCCCCCGCCGAAAAUCUCCAACUACAGACCCCUGCCCCCCUCCCCCAACAGUGGAAAACCCCAUUUUCUAACUGUUACGCUGGCACACAGACCCCAAAUGCAACAUGUUCGAUGCGAUGACGGCGGCAGCGCUGCUGGAAAAACGUGAGCCGCAAACGUGACAGCGGUUCGAUGCGAUUGCUGGCUGGCCUACUGACGGGGCUCGAUGGUCUCACCUGCGGGGGCGAGCGGGCUGGAUGGGCGGGUAGGUGGUGCUUACACCAUUCGAACGAUAAACAUUGUAUGGCCCAGGCACGUUGCCUCCGGCAAUCAGUUGCAGGUGAACCUCUAGGCCGGAGGAGCAAUGGGGUGGCGGGUGCGUCUCUCAAAACGAGCACUCGAAAGUCACAUUACUCGCUGUGCCUAUUACAUGACACACAAACAACGGAGGCGGCGAGCGCCCCAGACGACGGGGAGUAACAAUUGUUUGGACUUAGCCGUGGCAAUCAGCCGGACACCUGUAAGCGGCAACGUGAUGAAAAGCGUGCCCGCGAAUCAUCAUCGUCGAAGGCGACUAGAGGCUGUUUAGGGGUUAACCGCAUUUAAUUGAUUUGGAAAUGUUUAGCGGCUAUUUCUCUGUAUUUCUAGUAACUGGAAGAUCAUUUAUUAAUAGAAUAAAAAUCCCUAAUCCCAUUAGACAUCUUUAAAGUUAUUUAUUUAAGAAAUUAAGGACAUUAUCCCCCCAUAUUUUAAGGUGUGAGAAGACACUAAUUUCUAGAACUGGUGCGGGGGUGGCAGAGCCGCCAACGUCGGCGUGGCGUCCGCGUCGGCGUUGGCCGCGUAAUGAGUGCAAAUGUGAAUGAACUUCCCGCAGACGCACACGCAGCACCAUCAGCUUCUCUCCGUCCCUGCCCCCCCAGUAACUGUCCGAAAAAAAUCUCGGAAACAACAGUGGCAACAAUAUGCUGGCUUUUGACUGACGAAGCUUACAACUUUCACACCGCACAACAUCGAAACGUCUCGCAAACACACACUCAUACACGAGAAAGGCCCCAGAGGCCAAGUCUUCUACGUAUCCCCCCUUAAUUUAUACCUAUGGAGGUA
rnacentral:sRNA from 1 species